CAUUACAAGUGGUAUACGUAUAUCACAGCUGCCAGUGGAAUUCGAGCGGUGUGACAGUAUUUUCCUAUAUUAUUAAAGUUACCAGCACGGACAUUUAAUGAGGUAAUGUACAUAUCUAGUAACAAAGAAUCACGCCGAGGACUUCCGUGGAACGUCGAGGACAAAUAUCAGUUAGGCGACAGUGUUACACAGAGUAUGACGUCAAGCUAGCCUACACAAACGCUGAACUUACUUCCUUGUUGACAACCUGAAUGCAUGUCUUACCGUUGUGUGGCAAGUGAUUUGUACGGAACAUGUACCUACUCUCUCAACAGCAAAUGGAUACCUAUUUGGAUUAAAGUUUACUGUGUCAAGAGUCCUACUGAUAUCAAACGUGGAACAGUGAAUUACGAAUAGUGAGUGCGCUUAUCAAGUCAAGCUGAACUGUCAACGGUAUGACGAAGUCUGUGAUCGUGUGGAUAUAUGUCACCUAUCUUUGCUACCUUCUUCAGCCAGUUUGUACAGGUGAGACAUAUAUUUAUAUGGAGAAAGAGAAUACUUGGUACAACAUACCUCAGUAAGGCUUGCUAUGGAUCCGAUCCAUCCUGUACUCAGCAUCAUGUCAGCUGCAACUCUACCCAGAAGAUCGCCAUCGUUGACUACUACACUAACAACCCGAAGUGCACACAAGUAGGCCUCUCUAGCUGCGACAAUUACAGUGCGGACGGUGUAACAGAACAUGAAUAUGACAGAUUCAACUACACCGAGAUGUUCUCCCUCUACAAAAAAUGUUCAACAAAGAGUCAGUGUGUGUUUCCAGGUCCCCGGCGGAAUGUAACUCGUACAUUCUCUGUUGUAAAAUAUCAGUGCAUUGAAGAAGGUGAUUCCCUGAACAUCAGCGAAGGUGUUGUAGAGUUAUCUCAAGCCGCGAUUAACCAUGGAAACCAACUGAUGCCCAAUUGCUCAAAACGAAACGACACUUACGUGUGCAGUUUCAAGUCUGAUGACACUGCCACAAGGAUAUAUGCUCUUGAUGUGAGACUGAAUCGAGGAAAUAGACGGAAAUGUUUAUCACAGUUGUCUGUCCGACAUGGGAAUGUCAUCACAACGAAUAAUUGUUCAACAGUGUUCAAACCGUUUGAGAGACUCAACGUAACAACUGAACUCCCUCUACAUAUCCGAUUCAAAGAUAUCCGAAAGCAGUCAUCAAUUUGGCUUUUGAUCAAAGGUACAAACACAAGAACAACAUACAGCCAUGAUUCCACGACAAAUGACAGCAUACCAUCAGGACAGGCAGAAAGUAACGCUGGUGCAAUAGCUGGAGGAGUUGUGGCCACAGUCGCAGUUGUACUGGUUGUCACAUUGGUGUCAGUGUGGAUCAUACGGCACAGACGAGCGAAAAGCGAAGGGAAGGAGAAGACUGCAUCACUUCCGAAGGAUGCAAAGUCUGGCAUGACCUACAGUUUAGCCGGUAAGAUCUCACAGGAAAACUACCAUGAAAUCCAGGACCUGAAGACACACAACAGUGACUAUGACUACGCUACCGCGGACGACAUGGGUCUUCCUCCAACUACAAACACUUACUUCACCAUCGAACCUGCUGGGAAGCUAACUGCAAACGACAAUUCAACACCCUCUGCAGCUGAAGGCGUGUAUGAUCACAUUGGAGACAAGACAUCCCAACAGACCAGUGACUACGAUACAACAGCCUCGGUGGCUCAACCAGGAAAUACUGGAGAAGAUGGUUAUGGUUACAAUCACUUCCAAAAGAAAGCCAACACUCAGACACAACAGAAUGACUACGACACUGCUGCCUCUGCAAACCAGGCAGUUGCCCAACUCAGUUUGGCCGAAAAGAACACAGAUGAAGACGACUAUGACCAUUGUCAUAGGGGAACCAAUGCUUCUGAGACUGUUAGCUCGCCGUAUGAUUCUACAUCUGGAGUAGAGGAUAACCCUGAUUAUUCUGUUGCAGGGCAAAUGAAAUAAGCAUAUCCCGAAAUUGGAAUGUGUAUGCGUGUUCUUGUCGUACUGUACAUAUACAUGUACCUGAACGACUGCACACUCCGUACUUCAUACCUGUCCUUAGUUGAGGUGCCAAAGAAUGUUUCCAGUCAAAUGCUUUUUCGUAUCAGUGUUCAACAUUAUCACAAGAAAGGCGAGAAACAGAUGGCCUAUUCAUAUAAGGUGCGGUAGAUUGCACUGAAAUUUAUCACAAUUUCAGACUGGUUUAUUUAUGAUUUUUGGUUUGCCAGCACCAUCGAGUUAUAUGGACAUAUGCUGAGAUAUUGGUCACUCACAGACGGAAUGAUUAAUCCUUCCUUGAAACGAUUUUAUCAGGUUGGCAUUUCCACUAUUAUCAGUUAUGCCUCUUUGAUAAUAAUUAAUGAAUUUACAUGGAGUAAAUACAUAAUACACUGCAAAUACCAAUUCAGCACCAUUACUGUUUACACAACUAUGUUUACAGCUUAAAAUGAAUAUUUGGCAGAAUUAUGCAACUCUCAUUCAUCGGUUUGUUUCGGGUUUUCAAACUUAGUUUGUCUUCAUAUUUAAAAAUAGUACAUAAAAACACAGAUUAUGUAAUACACGUUGUGGCAACUGUUUCCAGGUUCCAUUUUAGUGCUUGUGGGUACUAUAUUUUGAAUGUUGAGUUCUAUGGUUUCAGUACGUUUUCAAUUCUUCACCACCAGCUCCUGUAUUUAGCUUACAACAUUCACGUACAUCGUCUCCUUUAGAGGACUUUAUAUGAGGAAUACUGAAAUAGGUUUUCUUUAUUGAUUUGAAAGGUAAGAUGCUCAUGAUAAGAGUGGAUCGUGUUUAAGCGUACACAGGUCACAACAAUUAGAACAAUUUCAUAAAUAUUCAUACUUUUGAUUUUAUUCAUGUUUGAAUGUUAGGAAAAUUGAUGAAUGCUGUGA
rnacentral:misc_RNA from 1 species